rnacentral:rRNA from 1 species
UACGUAGGGGGCGAGCGUUGUCCGGAAUUAUUGGGCGUAAAGAGCGUGUAGGCGGUUCGGUAAGUCUGCCGUGAAAACCUGGGGCUCAACCCUGGGCGUGCGGUGGAUACUGCCGGGCUAGAGGGUGGUAGAGGCGAGUGGAAUUCCCGGUGUAGCGGUGAAAUGCGCAGAUAUCGGGAGGAACACCCGUAGCGAAGGCGGCACUCUGGGCCGGAACUGACGCUGAGGAGCGAAAGCGUGGGGAGCAAACAGG